UUUCGGGCUUCGACCGGCGUACGGGUGCGUAACGCGUAUACAAUCUGCCUUUCACAUAGGGAUAGCCCGAAGAAAUUUAGAUUAAUACCUAAUGGCAUAUAGGGGUGGCAUCACCUUUAUAUUAAAGCUGAGGCGGUGAAAGAUGAGUAUGCGUUCUAUUAGCUAGUUGGAGAGGUAACGGCUCCCCAAGGCUACGAUAGAUAGGGGUUCUGAGAGGGAUAUCCCCCACACUGGUACUGAGAUACGGACCAGACUCCUACGGGAGGCAGCAGUGAGGAAUAUUGGACAAUGGUCGGAAGACUGAUCCAGCCAUGCCGCGUGCAGGAAGACGGCCUUAUGGGUUGUAAACUGCUUUUGCAGGGGAAGAAUAAGGAGUACGUGUACUUUGAUGACGGUACUCUGCGAAUAAGCAUCGGCUAACUCCGUGCCAGCAGCCGCGGUAAUACGGAGGAUGCGAGCGUUAUCCGGAAUCAUUGGGUUUAAAGGGUCCGUAGGCGGGCUAAUAAGUCAGAGGUGAAAGCGCUCAGCUCAACUGAGCAACUGCCUUUGAAACUGUUAGUCUUGAAUGGUUGUGAAGUAGUUGGAAUGUGUAGUGUAGCGGUGAAAUGCUUAGAUAUUACACAGAACACCGAUAGCGAAGGCAUAUUACUAACAAUUAAUUGACGCUGAUGGACGAAAGCGUGGGGAGCGAACAGGAUUAGAUACCCUGGUAGUCCACGCUGUAAGCGAUGGAUACUAGCUGUUUGGUUGUAAGACCGAGUGGCUAAGCGAAAGUGAUAAGUAUCCCACCUGGGGAGUACGCACGCAAGUGUGAAACUCAAAGGAAUUGACGGGGGCCCGCACAAGCGGUGGAGCAUGUGGUUUAAUUCGAUGAUACGCGAGGAACCUUACCAAGGUUUAAAUGGAGACUGACGUACUUAGAGAUAGGUAUUUCUUCGGACAGUUUUCAAGGUGCUGCAUGGUUGUCGUCAGCUCGUGCCGUGAGGUGUCAGGUUAAGUCCUAUAACGAGCGCAACCCCUGCCAUUAGUUGCUAGCGAGUCGAGUCGAGCACUCUAGUGGGACUGCCGGUGCAAA
rnacentral:rRNA from 1 species